rnacentral:rRNA from 1 species
CCUACGGGAGGCAGCAGUGGGGGAUAUUGCACAAUGGGGGGAACCCUGAUGCAGCGACGCCGCGUGUGGGAAGACGGUCCUCUGGAUUGUAAACCACUGUCCCCAGGGACGAAAAUGACGGUACCUGGGGAUGAAGCUCCGGCUAACUACGUGCCAGCAGCCGCGGUAAUACGUAGGGAGCGAGCGUUGUCCGGAAUUCCUGGGUGUAAAGGGAGCGUAGGCGGGGAUGCAAGUUGGGUGUCAAAACUACCGGCUCAACUGGUAGUCGCACUCAAAACUGCAGCUUUUGAGUGAAGUAGAGGCAGGCGGAAUUCCUAGUGUAGCGGUGAAAUGCGUAGAUAUUAGGAGGAACACCAGUGGCGAAGGCGGCCUGCUGGGCUGUGACUGACGCUGAGGCUCGAAAGUGUGGGGAGCAAACAGGAUUAGAUACCCGUGUAGUC